AAAGACACAGAGAAAGACGAAAACAGGGGAGAAAGGAAAGGGAAAGAAAAAUAAAAGGAAAACCUAGGGAUUUGAAGCUUGAAGUUUAAUAGGUAAGCUAAAUCAAGUCCUUUUCUCAUAAAUUUGAUGUUUUUGAAAUCCUAGAGUGAAAUACUCUUGGAUUUAAGUUGAAAAUUUGAAAGAUAAUAGAUUUUUUAGUAGGGUUUAUGUUAAAUAAAUGAUGGAAUUGAGGGUUUAUUUGAUAGAAUUUCUAGUUAGAAUUGAUAAAAGGGGGUUAAAUUGUAAAGUAAGCUAUAAGUUUUGAAUUUUAGGGAUUAAAUUGAAAUAAAUUCGAAAUUAUGAAAAUAUGAUAAAAAUUAGAUAGUUAAAUGUGAGUUUGGUAGGAAAUUAAGUAGUAAAAAGGUAUGAAUUGAGAAAGAAAAAUAUAUAGGUUAGUUAGGAUUAAAUUAGAAUUAAAGUAAAAGUUAGAUAAAAAUUUCAGCAAUUAAAUUGUUUUGUGCUAAUGAUUGUGAAAUUAUUUUAAUUGUUCGUAGCUAAUAUCGAGCAUGAAGCAUCGGCCCAAAAAGGAAAAGAAAAGAUCGUCGAGGAUUAAAUCCGAAGAGAAUUCCGGUUUGUUUUACUAUAAUUCAAAUCUAUUUAUUAUUAAUUGUUAUAUUUUAAUUAAAAUUCAUGGUAAGUAAAAUUAGGUAAGCAAUUGGAAUGAUAAUAGUGGUUUGAAUUGAAUUGAAAUAUGAUUAUAUGUGAUUAUUUGAAAUAUGUAUUGGUAUUAAAUUGUUAAUUGAUUAGAAAGUGGAAAAGUAAUCUUGAAUUGAAAAUGAAAGAGAAUUGAGAAUUUGAAUACCCUAUUAACUAGUCGGGCUAAGUCGGAUAUAGUUGGCAUGCCAUAGGAUUGGAAGAGUACGGGAUUUAUCGGCUUUGCCGAUCAGACACUUUAUGUGUCGUAUCAGGCACCUCGUGUGUCGUUUCAGGCACUUAUGUGUCGCAUACUGAUCAGGUACUAUGUACCGUUUUAGGCACAAUGUGCCGUAUUGGUGUGUUUGGGUUGGAAUCUGUGUAUCCGUCAAAGUCCAGAUUGUUAAUAGGGUGAAUAAUUGAAAUGAGAAAAUCAAAUGAAUUUGAUCGAUUGUGGUAUUGAAUAUGAGAAAAUUUAAAAUUGCGGAUUGAAAUUGAUAUUGAAAAUGAAAGGCAUGAAUUUAAUGUUUAUGUAGUGAUUAAAAUUGCUACAUGUGAUAUGCGAUUGAGAUUGAAGAAUAGAUAAAAAUUGUAUUGUUAUUGUUAAAUAAUGAAAGUUUAUGAAUUAAUUGAUAUUUAACAAACCGGAUAGUUAUAUGCUCGGUAAUUAUAAUUCUUUAUUGCUAUUAUAAUUUGAAUUAUGGUAAUACCACUGAGUAUAAAAUACUCAGCGUACGGUUGUUUCCGUGCGUAGGUUGAAAAGGGGUCUGAGUCUCAGUUCAGCAUCCAGGACAAUCCCGACUCCUGCAUAGAGAUUUCGGUGAUGUUUUCUUCCUUAAAUGAAAGUGGCAUGUACAUAAGAAUUAUAAUAGUUAUUUUGGUAUGUUAUAUAGUUUUGUUGUAAAGUAAGAUAUUAUGUGUUUUGAUGAUUAUAUUAGUAAAAUGGUAGAAGUUCUUUAUGGCAUUGGUAUCGAAUUGAAAUGAUUUGAUUAGUUUUAUGAGUUAAUUAGAAAUGAUAAUAGGAUUUUUAUUAAUUAAGUUGUUAUGUC
rnacentral:lncRNA from 1 species